rnacentral:rRNA from 1 species
UCGACCCCUACCGUGCCGGAGUUAACGCAAUAAGUAUCCCGCCUGGGGAGUACGGUCGCAAGACUGAAACUCAAAGGAAUUGACGGGGGCCCGCACAAGCGGUGGAGUAUGUGGUUUAAUUCGACGCAACGCGAAGAACCUUACCAGGCCUUGACAUCCCUUGCAAAGCUGUAGAGAUACAGUAGAGGUUAUCAAGGAGACAGGUGGUGCAUGGUUGUCGUCAGCUCGUGUCGUGAGAUGUUGGGUUAAGUCCCGCAACGAGCGCAACCCUUGCCUUCAGUUACCAGCAUUCAGUUGGGGACUCUGGAGGGACUGCCGGUGAUAAACCGGAGGAAGGUGGGGAUGACGUCAAAUCAUCAUGCCCCUUAUGGCCUGGGCUACACACGUACUACAAUGGCUGUUACAACGUGCAGCGACCUAGCGAUAGGAAGCGAAUCACUAAAAGACAGUCUCAGUUCGGAUUGAAGUCUGCAACUCGACUUCAUGAAGCUGGAAUCGCUAGUAAUCGCGGAUCAGAAUGCCGCGGUGAAUACGUUCUCGGGCCUUGUACACACCGCCCGUCAUACCAUGAGAGCUGGUAAUACCCGAAGCCGGUGGCCUAACCGCAAGGAAGGAGCCGUCGAAGGUAGGACUAGUGAUUGGGGUCAAGUCGUAACAAGGUAUCCCUACGAGAACGUGGGGAUG